rnacentral:rRNA from 1 species
GAUAAACGCUGGCGGCGUGCUUAACACAUGCAAGUCGAACGAAGUUUUUCCUUCGGGAGAAACUUAGUGGCGGACGGGUGAGUAACGCGUGGGUAACCUGCCCUGUACAGGGGGACAACAGCUGGAAACGGCUGCUAAUACCGCAUAAGCACUUAGCACUGCAUGGUGCAUAGGAAAAAGGAGCAAUCCGGUACAGGAUGGACCCGCGUCUGAUUAGCCAGUUGGCAGGGUAACGGCCUACCAAAGCGACGAUCAGUAGCCGAUCUGAGAGGAUGUACGGCCACAUUGGGACUGAGACACGGCCCAGACUCCUACGGGAGGCAGCAGUGGGGAAUAUUGCACAAUGGAGGAAACUCUGAUGCAGCGACGCCGCGUGAGUGAAGAAGUAUUUCGGUAUGUAAAGCUCUAUCAGCAGGGAAGAAAAUGACGGUACCUGACUAAGAAGCACCGGCUAAAUACGUG